UAGGGAAUAUUGCGCAAUGGGGGAAACCCUGACGCAGCGACGCCGCGUGAGCGAUGAAGGCUUUCGGGCCGUAAAGCUCUGUCGUAUGGGAAUAAUUUUUGAAUGUACCUUAUAAUAAAGGAUCGGUUAACUUCGUGCCAGCAGCCGCGGUAAGACGAGGGAUCCUAGCGUUGUUCGGAAUCAUUGGGCGUAAAGCGGGUGUAGGUUGCUUUUUAAGUCAGGUGUGAAAGCCUAGGGCUCAACCCGAGAAGUGCAUCUGGUACUAUAAAGCUUGAGUGUGGAAGAGGCUGAUAGAAUUCCUGGUGUAGUGGUGAAAUACGUAGAUAUCAGGAGGAAUACCAGUAGCGAAGGCAGAUAGCUGGUCCAACACUGACACUAAGGCACGAAAGCGUGGGGAUCAAACA
rnacentral:rRNA from 1 species